rnacentral:lncRNA from 1 species
UGAAGUCCAUUUCUUUAUCAGUUGAAACGUGUUAUGAAUUUAAAUCGAGAUAGAUGUUAAACGGGCAACAAGCUGCGCCGCUACCCCUUUUUGAAUAGCAAAAAAGUAAGUAUUUUAAAAACUACGUCCAUAGAUCUCGGGGUCAUAACAUUACUAUGCAUGACCAUUUGAACUCCACUAAGUAGGUCCACAACCUCUAGCGCCAAGAAACCAAAAGUAUCAAAAGCAAUGUAACGUUCUAAAAGUUUCUAAAAGCUUAUAACUCAACAAUUGGUGCUUUUUACCACUAGGCAGUUUUUCGGGUUGAAACGUGGUGGCUUGAAGUUGACAAGAGUGAUGAUUGUUAAAUGGGAUAUGAUGCAGCGAGGAUAAACGGGAAUGGAAAAAAAUGGCCAUUCAUUGAUCGUUCAAGUUGCUCAAGUAGGGUUGGGACACCGAAAACGAUAUUGUGUCUUUUACUUUUGUUUUGUUAUUUAAAAAGAUGAUUAUAUUAUACAUAAUACAAAAACCCUAUAAAAAUCUUAUGUCGCUGUUUAUCUUUUCCAUUUGUUGUCAUUUGCAUCAAAACCGAUACAUGCUACAUGUAUAAUAAUCCUUUUUGUUUGAAAGUUAUUAAGGAUUAGUGGGUUACAACACAACACGUGUAUUUAAUGAAUUUUAGUUCUUUUGCAAUAAGGUCUUGGGGUAUACUCUAACUUCAUUGGUGUUAAACAAGUUAACAUUUCUUCCAAACCACUCCCUUUCUAUAUUAAAGGGGUGUUAAAACCUCAUUUCGUUAACAUGUUAACCUAGGUAAAAAAAGAAUAAGAAAUUAAUGCUAUUAAUUAUCAAUGUUUAAUUUAGCUAAUAACUUAAUGAAAUGGUAUUGUUGUCAUUUAUUUUGUAUUUAAAAAAAUUAUUUAAUACUAUAACAAUUAAAAAAAAAUGGUGGGUGAGGUUGAGUUAACAAAGUUAAACCAUUUCCUUAUGAUGAGGUGGAGUAAAGAGGGAGAAAACGAGUGAUGUGGCGCUUAUAUGAAGUUAAGAAAGGUUAAGGUAUACCUAAUGGCCUAAUAAAAUAUAUCUCCUUAAAGAUGAUGAAUAAAUAAACGUUAACUAAAGGAACAUAGAUAAAAAAAAAGUGAUUUCGAUUACUUGGAUUUCAUAACUUAACAUUUUUUUGUUGUAAAUAUUGAGAAUCAGAAAAAUAUACGAAUAUCUAUGCACAUCGACAUAUCGUUUUGGUUAUGUUACAAGUUUAUUUUUUUGAGUUUUUUUUUUCGUUUGCUAUAGCAUGUGUCGGUAUUUUGACCAACCAAACGAAUUUCGCUUGUGUCCCGCAACAACACGCGGGAAAAUUUACUAGUUAAUAAUAAUUUCACAAAAACUCAUAUAAUUUUUAACGUUAGUGAGUAUCAACGACGACCAAAAAUACAACAUACCACCGUUUGAAAUGUACUCUAUUAAGACCGCAGGGAGUGGUGGUGUUGGGUUGGGUAACUUGAAAACUUGUUUUUAAGUGACUUUGUGUUCUCCGGUCAAAUUCCGAUUAAGGAUUCCGGUGACUGGUUUGGGGAUAAGGUUAUCCAUUUUGGGCAAUUUUUCAAACUUGGUGGGAAAGGUACAGCCUGCACAUCCCUUUCUGCCGAAAGUUGACUUACCUACCCAUCACCUUUUCACCAACCUAUCAAAUCAGCGUCAGUUGUGUCAGAAUCUCUCGAAAGAUAUCUUUCGACAUCGAAAGACCAUCUUUCGAUCAAGGAAGGCUCGAAAGAUUAUCAUCCUUCGACCCAUCCUUCGAAGUCUGAAACAUAUCUUUCGAUAAAGGAAUCUAUUCGAAAGACAGGUGUCCGAAAGAUAAGGAUUUAACUCGAAAGAUAAGGAUCUUUCAAAGGAGAAUCCUUCGAGUUCUUGAAUCUUUCGAAAUCAUUGUUCGAGAUUCAACAGUAGUCUUUCGAGUACUGUUGAUCCUUCGAACAAGAGUUGAUCUUUCGAUUGUGGUCAGUUUAUUGUUAACAAGUUUCUGUGAUUUCAGAUCUUUCGACCAAGAUCCUUCGGCUGUGUGAUCUUUCGGAUUACUCACUUAGCAUUUAUUUUGCUCAUUUAUCAUGAAUCCGAAUUGGUGGAAUCCGGCCCCCGACAGCGGUAAAUAUACAAGUUCUGGUGUCACUCCCUCAUGGUGGGGUACACCGGCGCCAGACAGUGGAAAAUACACGUCUACAAGUCUAUCGCCUUCAUGGGCCGAGUCUCCGGUAUCAACAUCUUCUCAGGGAAAUCAGUGGGCAUUAGUCUCGAAUCAAACUCCUAGUAUCCAAAGUAUCUUACUGAGCGAAAGUGAAACAGGAAGUUUGAAUCGACCUCCGAAGCUGAUGCAUUUAAACGAGUAUCCGGGUUGGGCUGAUAGAUUCCGUACAUAUGUUCUGGGUCAAAAUACAGAGCUGUGGAUACGUUUCACCACAGACUUUGAUCAAGCUAUCGAAAUCGCCGCUUCAACGACUGCUAGUU